ACACAACUCUCUGACCCAGCAUGUUGUUCUUAGUUGACCAGUAGUCUGUACAUUCGUAAGCAUUUUCAAAGAACCACUUACUCUUUCUAGCAUCAAACAUAAGAAAACUUCCUGGCCAGAGCCCUAAUCCUCUAAGUUUAUUCAUCAACCCGAGUAUUGUUAAGCAAAUUCCUAAAAUAAGGUAACUAACUUAGCCAAACAAGACGGGUUUGGUGUGCUGAUAAGCAAUUUCUCCUUUGCAGAAAUCCUUAUUUUAUUUUAUUUUAUUUUAUUUUCCAGCCUCUUUUCAUUUCCACAGCAUCUGUAAUCACGUACUUUUCAAGUACUUUCAAAUUCUGAACAUACAGUACAGAAAUUGCUAAGCCUCCACGUUCAUAGGGACAUUUGUGAAAACUAGGCUUGGUCAGCCUUCUUGGUAAUUUUGCUUAUCAACAACAGCUCUCUCACAGUACAAACAUCCAGAAUCUUUUCUUUUCUCCUUGUUCUGUCAAAGAAUUUGUUUUUGGUUCACAUAGAAAGUUCAAGGGUCACAAUCCUCUAUAGCUCUUUAAAUGGGAUUAUUUAAAUCUCAUCUCCACUGAAGCCUGGCUUGUGUCACAUUCCAUUCUUGCAGUAGGAACAGAUAUAUUUCUGUAUGAGAGGCACAAAAAAAGAGAGGGUGUGAUCCUAGAGAAGUAAAAUUGCAUAGAGCCCCGUGUAAAUUAACUUUUACUUACAGGGUCUUUCUUCAUCUCUCUGUCAAAGCAUUUCUUUUAUCUUCAGGGGCUGUGCACAGAACUGUGAAACAACACAGAAUGUGUCUUGAGGCUCUGUAGAAAAGAAAAAAAUAGAUCAUUUUCAACUGAAAAGACUCAGACCUGACAGAAAAGACAUCAAGAAUUUAAAGAAGGGCUGGAGGGAGACAAGGGAUCUAUUUAAAUUCUAUUUCCUUUAUUGCUCAUUUUUAUAGUUCUCUCCCGACUGAAGAAGAAUUGGUGAUUGUGCUUCUGUUUAAACUUUCAUGGCAUCUUAGCUUCUUCUCUGAGUUCUGGCCAUCUGUAGUGCACAUGGGAUUGCAAAUGGGUUCUGUGGGGUAUGAACCAAGUUAAAGAAAACAAAACAAAACAACAACAAAGCAAAACAACAACAACAACAGUCCAUUGAGACCAAAGCCAUUCAUUCUAUUUGGUAUUUAGAGUAAAGAUGUAUCAUUUUUAUUACUGAAAUGAGCAUUUCCUUGUAGAAUAAUAUAUCAUAGGACCAGUCAUUUCUAUUGACUUUCCUCUAUUCAACCCCUUUGGUCUAAUACCCAUGAUUGUUUUUGAUGAAAUUUUUUACAUUAUUCCGCCUUUAUAGAAAAGAUUGGGCAAUAAAAUUUCAUUUG
rnacentral:lncRNA from 1 species